CUGGGUUUUUCCCGUCGCCGGUGGUACUCCAGCAAGAUCUCGGGUUUUUGUCGGGAUUUUAAUUUGGAAUUAAGUUAGAAAUUAGGGCUUGUGAAUUAGAAUUUGGGGAUUUGGGAGUUAGGGCUUUUCGUAUCGGCGGCAGAGCACCACUCGGAACCACUCCACAGCAGCAGCGUGAGUGACCGACGACAGCCCGCAGUGGUGGUCGACGGAGCAAGCUAGGUUGAUUUGAUUCAGGGGAUUGGAAGAUAACCAACUUGGAGGACCUCUGCCCAAGAGCCUUGGGAAUUUGAUUAACUUGAGAACCUUAGUACUUGCUGCAAGCGUUCUUCUGGCUAUAAUAUGGGCAAAUUCUAGAUCACUUCUUUUAGCAGUUGGUCAAGAUGAUCAAAUUGCAGCUCAAGCCGGACACUAUGCUGAAUUCGUGAUCCCUGGUCUCUUUGCUUAUGGUCUUCUUUACUCACUUCAGAGAUUCUUACAAACCCAGAAUAUCGUUUUCCCUAUGAUGAUAACUGCAGGGAUCACUACACUACUCCAUUUGCCAGUUUGCUGGACUUUGGUCUUCAAAUGUGGUCUUCGAAACCGAGGAGUUGCCCUUGCAACUGGUGUAUCUUAUUGGAUUAAUUCUCAACACAGCUGCACUUGUGUGGAUGAUCCCCUUUGGUCUUAGUGGUGCUGUCAGUACUGCAGUUUGAUACCGUUCCAUCAACUCAUGCGGCUUCUCAUUCGAGUGACAGAUCGAAGGAGACUGAUCAUAAGACUCUACGAAGGCUUGCUCAGAACCGUGAGGCAGCAAGGAAAAGCCGGUUGAGGAAAAAAGUCUAUACUCUGAGGAAUGCGCCUUAUGCUAGUGAGGAAAUUGAUGUGGUUCGUGAGCAAUGGGCUAAGUUUUUUACCAGCAAAUAUUUAUUAUUGGCCUGAUCGCGCUUGAUCGAGUUGGUUUAGAUGUUAUAGACCAAUCUUUUAUAUUAAAAUUUAUGCGUACAAUGAAAUUGGAACAUAUAUUUAAAUGUACGUGCACUUUGGUUUAAUGUAUACAAAACAACA